AUUCCUUCUACCCUGGGUGACUUACUCAGGUUUCAGAUCCUAGGAGAGGCUGAUUGACAGCUUGAGCCAGAAGUCUCCCCUGGGCCAGUUGUAGUGGGAAGGAAUCUUAGGAUGUCAUAGUCUUGAUCAUGUGAUCACCCUUUGUUUGGCAGACCCGUCAGGACUCCAUGGGAAUAGAAGCCCUUAGAAAGAACAGGGUACUUUGUUCUUCCAUUCUGUUUCUAUUACAAAUCCAUUGGGGCACACUACGAGGACUUGAGUAAAUCUCAAAAGAAUCGGGUCAUAGGGUAGAAUAAUUUACCUACUGUAUGAGUUUGCUAAGUACCAUAACAAAGUACCACUGCCAUAACUGAGUGCCACAGACUGGAUAGCUGUUGUCCUCUACUGCCUUCACAUGGUGUUGCUUCUGUGUGUACCUGUGUCCUUCUUACAAGGACACAAGUCAUACUGGAUUAUGGUCCACCCACACGAUCUCAUUUUUACCUUAAUUACUACUUUAAAGACCCUGUCUCCAAAUAGAGUCACAUUCUGAGCACCCUGUGUGGGGCUUCUUCGAUAGAUAUGGGACUAAAGCCUUAAGGAAGUCAAGGGAAUUGUCCAUGAAUUCAAGCUCUAUGGAUGCCUGGGUCAGUUUUCUUUCCACUGUAACAUACUACUUCUUGUUAAAUGCUAGUUUAUAUUUAAAUUGCAUGGGAAUAAUUAGCUGCUGUUAAAUUUGUUACAAGAACCCCUUUUCUGACAGGCAUAAUUUCAGCUCUCUUCUGUAAAUCUGAUUUAACAAGUGUUUAUUGAAAACUAUCAUUGAUAUGUUUAUUUUGUAUUGGUUUUUAUUUUUUAAUUCCCAUCAUCUGACCCAGUCUUGUGUUCAGCGUAAUUCUCCAUCUUGUUAAUGUUGUUGGGGGCAGUAUUUGCCUAUAAUUAUAAAACUGAAACAGACCCUCAUUUGUCCAGCCUCCCUUGUAGCCAGGAUUUGUGUACGUGAUCUAGGCUUGGCUCAUGUUUUGCAACCACCUUAGACUUUAAAUUGGUAGCUUGUGGCCCAAGAGGUAGGGGCAGAAAAUCCUCUCUGCUGGCAGGUGGUUGCCACGGCAGUGUCAAUAUCCAGCCUCCAGGGGCAGUAGGGACAGCAGGGGCAGUGAAUCCCAGUGGUGGCUUUCAUGUUCUGUGCCCCGGGUGAUGGCGGUGGUGUGGUCUCUGGCAUCCAGAAGUGGUGGUACCUUGUCCACACUGAACUGAUUUGGGCUGUGGUCCUUGAUAUUGGCUGGCCGUCUGUAUUCCUGCUCAGUGUCUAGCCCUAAUUCUCUGACAUUACAGUGAUUGUAUGAACUAUUCAGUAACCUUUCAUUUUUUAAAUUUACAUACAAUAAAUUCACUUGUUGUGGUAGACACUUCUAUGGAUUUUGACAAUAUAUAGAGUCAUGUACCAACUGCCACAGUCAUAAUGUAGAACAGUUCUGUCAUGCCUCAGAUUCUGCUCCUUUGUAGUCACCCUUUAUCUACCCCCAAAUCCUAAUCUAUCUAUCCCAUAAUUUUCCCUUUUCCAGAAUAUUUUCACAGAAUAAUUUUCAUAUAAUGUUAUCUAAUAAUCUUUUAAUAAUAUUUCAUUAUAAUAUUAAUAACCUUUAAAAUAUUAGUAAAUUUAUUUUCUGAUUAAAUAUAGUCAUGUCUCGCUUAAAUACAGGGGUAUAUUCUGAGAAAUGCGUCACUGGGUGAUUUUGUUGUUUUGCGAACAUCAGAGUGUACUUACACAAACCUAGAUGGUAUGGUCCACUACACACCUAGGCUCUAUGGUACUAAUCUCCUGGGACCACUGUUGCGUAUGUGGUCCGUCGUUGACUUAAGUGUUGUUAUGUGGCGCAUGACUGUAAGAAUAGCUAAAAUUUAUUGGACGCUUAACAUUUGUUUUGUUGUGUUCUUAGUAAGUGCUUUACAUGGAUGAACUCGUUCAGUCCUCACUGCAGUUCUAAUAGGUGUAUCCUCUUAUUAUCCCCAUUCACAUAUGAGAAAGCUGAGGCACAGAGUGAUUAAGGAAGCUGUCCACGGCCGCAGAGGUCAUAAGUGGCAGUCAAGAUUCAAACCCAGGCAGCGUGGUGCCAGACAUAGGCUUUUAGCUCCUAUCUGUACUGCUUUGUAAACAGCCAGAAUUGUUUUCUGUUGUUUGCAACUAUGAACUUGAGUGAUAGAACUCGUGGAGGAAAGUCUCAAAGUACACACUCUUAUGGAUGUUACCAUUGGGUUGGGGAGACACCUUAUUGAAAUAAUUCCGUCAAUGAAUGCCUAAUUACAGAUGGAGGUAAAUGAAGGAAAGGAUCACAAUUCUUUAGAGUUCAACAGAGACAAACCCCACCUAGUCUGGGGGUCAUAGGAGGUUUCCCUGAGAAAGUGAUACUUUAAUAGAAAUCUGAAUGAGUUGCCAGACUGUGUGUGUAUCUGUGGAGUGUGCAACUGGAAACUUCCAGAGAAAGCCACAGGUGCUGAGGUCCAGAGGUAGGAGGCAAGAUGGCCAUUCUAACUGGAGCAUCUAAGGGGGAGCCCCACUGCCAGCCAAUGUAGGUGAAAUUAGAGGUGGGCAGGUGGCCAAACUAUGUAAGCCACAUCAAGUACUCAUGAGGCUUUGCCUCCCUCUGGUUCCAAAUAACACUCUGCAGUCUUUACUCAUCCACACAAAGCAAGAAAAGAAAACACAGGGCAAUGCUCAUAGAGGACUAUGCUUUGUUUUCUCAUGGAGCAGGACUCAUGAUGGGAAGGUAAUGGGCCCAAGUUCCCUUGGAUAUUGCCUGGAAGGUAUUCCUGGACCACUUGCCUUACCUCAGGAGGUAUUUGGGAAUAUAUUGGGAUCCACUGAUUUGCAUUGGAGCACUAUGAGGCUGGCUUCUGCUCAUUGCUGUGCCUGAGAUUGUUAAAGCAUUUCUUCAAACCUCACAUCCGUAAACUGCAGGGUGUGCAAUACCUUGUAUUUGGUGUCCUUGAGUCAUUGAUAGGUAUCUCAGUAAGCACAGCCAAGUUAGCAAAUAGACACAGUCUCUUCUCUCUGCAUGUUUUAGACACAGUCUCUUCUCUCUGCAGGUUUCAUAGACCCAGACUUCAAUGAACCACGACAAUAUUAGAACGCAGCAUCGUUUCAUAAAUAGGGGCACCCAGCACAAAAAGACAGGUUACCUUGGCCAGGGUUGCAAAAAUAGUGAAUGAAAGAGCCACAGCUAAUUCUCAUAUUUUCUGACCUCCAGCCUACUUGGCUUGUAUUUUGAUAUACAUAUUUCUAAAACAGAUUCACAAAAAUCAUUGUUUAAAUGGGUUAAUUUGAUAACACUGCCCAAUGCAUUCCUGUUUGAUAGAAGGUAGACCUAGGCAUCCAAGAAACACACAGUUGAAUUAUUCCUAGAUACUACUUGUGUGUUUUCAGUAAACUAAUUAAAAAAUCAGUAACAGAAGGCCUGUGAUAAAUUUUUUUAACUUUUUUUCAUAAUUUUACAUUUGACUAAUCUUUUAUAACACCCAAAUGUAUGGGCAUGAGUUCAUGCUGAGAGGAAAACUUUCGUGAGUCUGUUAACUCAGGAGGACCAUAAGGCAUUCAGAAAAUAAGUUAAUAUUCUGAAGUGCAUUAAUUAAUACUUUUGACUACCCUGACCAGUUAAGAUCCUCAGAGACAUAUACCCCAAUUUCGAAUCCAAUUAAAAUGAUAUCCAUUACUAAAUUAACCCAUGUACAUUCAAAUCUUGAUGUAAAAUGACAUAGUCUCAAGAUACCCAUUAAUUAAUCAAACAUGAAAAAAUAUGUCAAAAAAUUAUUAAUCCAUCUAUUCUGAUGUUAUAUCUCAAAGGUCUUCAAGCUCCUUAUAUAUUAGAAGUAUUAUAUACUAUAACAAUUCUUCACUUUGUUUAAAAGAUAACACUGAAAAAAUGUUUCACCAUAUGCUUGUUUGAGAUGCAGUGAAAAAAUGUUCUUUUCAAAGCAUAUGGUGAUAUAAUUAGGUGUCUCUGAAUACAGCAAGGUUGUAAAGAGAACUGUCUGAACUAAAUUGAAACAAUUUGCUGCUCUGUGUUUUUUUUUUGACCCAUCACCCCAACAUCAGUAUCUUCUCUGGGUUAUCAUUGUUUUUAAUAAGGAAGAAUCUUAAGCACUUGAAGAUGAGAAACAUCUGCUGUCACCUCCCAUAGCUAUGGCAGAUAGGGUUCCAGGACUGCUUCCCCUUCCCUUUCACUGUGUAAACCCCUGUGUGGCUCACGUGCCCAGUCUCUCUCAUUGAGGAGUUCUGGCAUCACUCCAGCAUCAUUGACAUUUCUAUAAAGUUCUGUAGCCCGGAGUCGGCUUGUGUCUAUGGCUUGGCUGCCUUUCUUCAUGCCGUCUCCUGGGAUUCUCUUCUGCUAAUGGUGAGAGGCCUUGCAUUUCUUUUUCUUCAAUAAAAGGGUUUUUUAAAAAAUAUUUCAUCCUGUUUUGGUGUACUCAAUCUCUGAAGAAAAGAAAAAGUUUGCAAAUAGAUUCUAUGUGAUAUAAUGAGAAGGACACUGGUUAUUUGUUAUAAGAAAUCUAAAUUUAAAAAUUCGUGUAUUGAAAUCUGGGAAACAAAACAUCAUGGUUUCGGAUGAGUUUGGGUAUUAUCUUGUAUACUGUUUUUUCUUCAUUUUUCCAAUUCAUUGGGACGUACAACAUUUACUAGGAUUUUAAGGGUAGUAGGAUUUGUCACAUUUUAAACAAGUUCAUGAGUAUAUUUGAAUAAUGAACCUUUCAUUUAAGGACAUCAGUGCCUUGUAGUCCAUUGAUAAACAGAGUCUGGAUUUUUUCUUUUAAUUUUUUUUUAAAGUGCCUGACUGGAAUGAAUAUUAUGUGUUUGUCUUAGACAUAUGUUGUUUUCAGCCAAAUUCAUUGCUGACUGAUACGGUAAGUUUCACUAAUUUUAAGUCCUAUUUUUAUAUCAUUUAUAGUGAGUAUUCUUGGUUUUAGUUAACAAGUGAAACUGUCAGCAAACAAACGUGGAUUGUGCAGCAGAAGACAUAGAUGAUAGAUGCUAUUGCAAGUCAUGACUCAUGAUCAUUCAAUGGGUUAUUUGCCUCACUUCUUUUGUGAUUUUUUCUGUUGUCGACUAUUGAGGAAAUGAAUUAUUUUCUCUAGCUUUCCCGGCACGGUUACUUUCUAAUCAACUUGUGUUUGUUUUCACCUUGCAUCCGGGGAACAGUACCUCCUGAGGUGAAAUGCUAUAGUGAGCCAAAUCCUCGUCCGUCGUGGAAUGGUUUGCAAACUUUAGCAUCUACUGGAAUCACCUGGAGGCUUGUUAAAAUACAGAUUGCUGGCCUUCAUCCCCAGAGUUUUUGAUUCACUAGGUCAGGAAUAGGGCUGCAGUAUUUGCAUAUUGAAUGAGUUCCCAGAUGAAGAUGAUGUGCUGGCCUGGGAACCACGUUUUGAGAACGACUUGUAUAGUGCAACACUUAGUGCCUGUCCUAUGGUCUGUCGUCUCUGUGUCCCAGUGGAGACAGUGAAGUGUCCUACUGCACCCUGAGGUAGGCCCCAACCAGCUCCCAGGCACCAGGGUCUCCUUCCUUUUUUUCUUACAGGGGUUGACCACUUAGGUUUUUCUCUUUUAGGUGCUUCCGCUGCAAACUGCCAUUGAAGUUCUUGCUCACUCUCCUCACAUGGCCUGGUUCUUAAAAAGAAUAACUCCCCUUUUCUUUACUGUGGCUGAAGACAAGCAUCCAGGUUCUUUUCUCUUUUUGGGUUUUCAACUAAUUAUUUUGGAAAAAAGUGUAUAACAAAAUAAAUACACUUAAGAAAGUUUCAAAGUUUGCAAAUUCUCCUAAUAGUCAUCUCUGGUCCAUGGUUCCAAAUUCCCUUUAAAAUGGUAGCUGGAAGGCUCAGUGGGGUGUUCUCUUGGCUCUUACUCCCAGAGAUGGAACUUAGCCAGGGACAAUUCCCUUCUGAUCCAGCCAUGUGGUCUCUUUCCUUCAUGGGACCUGACCAAGGGAGAGCAAUAGUACCUCCUUGAUUCAAGUGGAAGAUAGAAAUAUAUAUCUUCGAAGAUAUCUUUGUCUCUGCCUUACUUGAAAAUUAUUGUCUAUCUGGUAUUUUCUCUCUGAAAGGUAAUCAGCCAUUUUGUUUUUGGAAAUGGUAUAAUGGGUGGUAAAGAGUGACUUUAGAGCCAGGCAGAUUUGAAUUGAAUCCUGAUUUUGUCUCUUAUUAUCUGUGUGAUCUUACAUAUGUUGGGUAAACUGGGUGAGCCUCAGUUUCCUCACCUGUAAAGUGGGAAUGCUAAUGCUUACCUCGUAUUUACAUGAGACAACAGAAAGGCAAAUAGCAUAAAGCCUUAGAAAUAGAAGUUUUUGGGGCCGGCCCUGUGGCCUAGUAGUUGAGUUUGGCAUGCUCCACUUUGGGGGCCCAGGUUCGGUUCCCAGGUGUGGACCUACACCACUCAUUGGAAGCCAUGCUGUGGUGGUGACCCACAUACAAAAUAGAAGAAGAUUGGUAACAGAUGUUAGCUCAGGGUGACUCUUCCUCAGCAAAAAGAAAAAGAAAAAAAGAAAUAGGAAUUUUCAAUGGUUGGCAGCUAUUACUGUUGGUAGUAAUAAUAUUAUUAAAAAUAGUAAGUUCCUAAAAUGUUAGGGAUACUAAGCGAUUCUCUUCUAAAUGGACCUCUGGUAAAACUGCAGAAUCUCUGAAUGAGACCUUAGAGGAACCUCUCUCUGGCAUUGCUUCAGCUGUUAUUUAUUGAGCUUAGCAUGUGCUAGUCUCUGUGCACCCUCUAAUCUCUGGUCUUUGAUACAGCACUAUUUAUCCUCUGAAUAAACACCUGUGGGGGCAGACUACUUACUGCUUUAGACUGGUCCCCUUUUCACUUUCAGAUUACUUUAAUGGUCAGAAAUUUCUUCCAUAAUUUAGUAAAAUCUGCAUCUCUGUAAACUUCUACCCACUGAACCAUUAUAUAUUAUUCUAGAAAACAACACAAAGAGCAUGUGGUCAGUGUGUGGCAGUUAUUACAAGAUAACUUCCUUUGAGAAGUUUGAAAUUUUAUUCUCUGAGAGUUAAAUUUAAAGGACAAUGCAAUAGAGGACAUUUCAGAUAUGUACCUAGCCACCUUAAAAAUGUCAGUGGUUCCGGGCCCACAAAACUGGACUCUCUUCAAGGGGUUGCAAAUAGAAGCUUCAGAGAACUAGAAAGUUAGAAACAAACAAAUAAAAAAUAGUUCAAGUUCUAUAUAAGGGGUACAUUUUUUAGUACCAUCAAUCAGGGUUGUUAUUUUGUUCAGUGUUGGGUCCAAGCCAUAUUGAUAGCAGGAAUAUACUCUCCUCAGGUAAACUAGAUUAUAUUGUCUAUGGAAGCAAAUUAACCUGAUGUUGUAAUGGGUUGAAUUGUGUCCCCAAAAAGCUGUUCAAGUCCUUACCCCCAGUAUCUGUGAAUAUGAACUUAUUUGGAAGUAAGAGUCUUUGCAGAUACGAUCAAGUUAAGGUGAGGUCAUACUGGAUUAGGGUGGGCCCUAAUCAAAUGACUUUUGUCCUUAUAAGAAGAGGGAAAGUAGGAAGCAGGCACAGGAGAACACUAUGUGACUAUGGAGGCAGAAAUUGGAGUGAUUCAUCUGCAAGCCAAGGAAUGCCAAAGACUGCAACCGCCAGAACCUAGCAAGAGGCACGUAAUAUCCUCCCCUAGAACUUUCAGAGAGAGCAUGGCCCUGCUGACGCCUUAAUUUCAGACUUUUAGCCUCCAGAACUGUGAGACAAUAAAUUUCUCUUGUUUUUAGUUUGUGGUAAUUUGUCACAGAAACCCUAGGAAACUAAUACACUUAGUGUUGGGGGUGGUUUGUUUGCCUUUAGAUAAUUAAGGAGGAAAUGUGUUGCAGCUAUUAUUUGUAGAAAGAUUGAUACGGAGUCUUGGCACCUGCUUUUUUCCUGUGCUCAUGGGAUCAAAGUCCACUCCUUUUUAGGGAAAGCAGAAGCUGAAGCAGAGAAAAAUGAGCAUUAAAAUCAGACUGAGACUUGAGGCAUCGAAGUUCACAAGACACAAGAAGGGACAAUGGUAUGGGACUUAUCUCAUUUGGGGAGAGAUGGAAAUUCUUCAGGAGAGGAUUUGAGAUUCUGGAGCAGGGAGAGGUCCUAAAUUGAGCCCGAGGGUUGAUGAUGAGGAAGCAUCCGGUGAUUGCGAGUUAGGAAGCAAGCUACUGUCUAAGUGGGGUGCCUCCCCAAAAGCACUUCUUCACCCCUUCUCCCUUGAUACUAUAAGUACACUUUGUGUCAGAUAGAGUGGGUCUAUUUAGCAAAUUCUGUAUGCGUUUUGGAAGACAUUCUCACCAAACAACUGCUCAAACUAUCCAACCAUUCAGAGAUUUCAUACAGGUCUGGUCUGGAAGAGACAAGCAUGGUAGAACUUAAGGAGGACACAAGGCUGAAUGGACACAGGCACUCUGUCUAUAGAACACUGGGUGGAGUGGAGUACAGACUGGUAGAGAACUUCCAAGUGUAAGGCAAUCCAGCUGCUCCCCAAGAUUCUUCCCAUAAGGUAAUGGGGGAUUUGGUCUCUCCCUAAUGGACAGGAAGAAAGAGCUCUGGCUGCCAGUAGUACAUACAGAAAUUUAUGUGAUUUACUAUAAAUGGUACCCCUUCCUCAAAGCACGUGACUUCCACCUGGUCAGAUAAAUGUCAUAAUAAAUAUACACAGAUAUGAAAUCCAGGUGAAUGUUGAUGUUGGGUUAUAUGUGGUCACUGAACACGGUGUAUCCGUACUAUCUUUGUAACUGUCCAUGGUGGCCUUGCCUGGCACAUUUGGAUCGCAAGAAUAUCCAGAGAAGAAUGUGUCAAUCAGAAGGGUCGAUUAACUUAUCCAGGAAACAAGAGAGUCACUGGGGAGAAGAUUAACAUUGCUCGUUCAGUCGUUGCUCUGGGGAGCAGGAUUUGCAGGUCUAUGCAAUGUUACGUCACACUAAGUUACUCUGGUGCUGUUUAGAAUCUGAAUCAUACUCUACCUCCUUUACAUUGAUUGCAUGCUCACCUGCUAAUUGUAAUUUGACCUCCAUGACUUGAGCUGAGCAGGCGGGUUGAGUGGCUGGUUCCCUGUGACUGUUCUCUCUCACUAAAUGCCUUAAGUUUGCCUUCUGGUACCAAUGUUGUUGCUGUCUUGCUGAAGGAUGGAACAACUCUCUUUUUUCUGACGUAUCAGAUUUCCUGGUGGUGGCAGCAUUCAGUUCCUUGCUGGCUAUUGGAAGAGACCACCCUCACUUGCUUGUUGUGUGGCCCUCUCUAUAUGGCAGCUCACAACAUGGCAGCUUGCUUCUUUGAAGCUGGCAAGGGACAGAGUCUCCUAGCAAGAUGGAGAUUACAGUCUUAAGUAAUGUAAUCACAUACAUGUAAUCACAUGCAUCUAUUAUCGUUACCAUAUUCUAUUGGUUAGAAGCAAGUCACAGGUCCUGCCCACACUCAAGGGGAGAGGAUUAUACAAGGGUGUGAAUACCAGGGAAAAGGGAUCAUGGGACCAUCUUAGUGUCUGUGUGCCCAAACUGAGUAUGUAUCUGCUCAACUAGAGUCUACAUUUCCUAGUCUUCCUUGUAGCUAGGGGUGGCUCUGAGUUUUGGCCAAUGGGAAGAGAGCAGAAGUAAUGGGUGGGAAUUUUGGAAUCUAUUUUAAUAAGGAAGUUUCUUACCAUCCACUCUGCUCUCUUUCCCCGUUCCUGCAAGUGACAAUGUGAAUAUGGUGUUAGCAGUGUUGAUGCUGCAGAUGAAGAUAACCCUGGGAGGUGAUAGAGGAAUAGCAUGAAAAGACUGUCCUGGAUGACCAUGUAGAGUGGAGCCACUUUACCAGCGCUGAAAUGCUCACUUCUGUUAUAAGCGAGUGAAAUAAUCUUGUUUCUCAAACUGUAUUUUGGAGCCUCUUUGUUAUAGGAGCUUAACUUAUACCUAACUCAUAGCAGUUUAUUCUGUAGCUAGACUGUCUCAACAUGGUGGGCAGCCUCGUGGGAUCUGCUCAUGGACCAACCUGAACUGGAGGAUAAAGUGUACAAAGAACAACAUACAUUCACGACAAUAGAUUUCACAAACUUUCAUAUAAAAGAAGAAAGACAUCACCUUAAAAACAAACUUUUAUAUAAAAGACAGACGUUACCUGAAAAGCGUGCUUAUAGAAAAAACAAUCUAGUUUUUUAGUAUUAACUUAAUCCUCUUGGCAUUUUUAAGGAUUAAAAAAAUAAUGACUUGAAUAAGUAACUGUUCUAGUUAUCUAUUGCUGUGUAACAAACUGUUCUAAGACUUAGUGGCCUAAAACAACAGGGAUAAUAUUAUUUUUUUCUCUCAUGAUUCUGGGAGUUAAUUAGGCUCAGCUAGGUGGUUCCUUCUUGGGACCUCCAUUGAGUGGUGGUCAGAUAGUGGCUGGGGCCGGAUCAUCUCAAGGCUCACUCCAUUACACGUCUGGAGGUUGAUGCUGGCUCUUGGCUGCAACCUCAGCUGGGGCUAUUGACCAUAACCCCUUCCUGUGGUUCUCAAUGAGGUCUUUCCACUUCCUCAUGACAUGGUGACUGGUUCCAAGAGGAAAUGUGCUGUGGGCCCAGGUGGAAACUGUAUUGCCUUUUAUGACCUAUCCUCUGAAGUCACAUCACUGCUGCCAUAAUCAUAGACCUGCCCAGAUUCCAGGAGGAGAGGGCAUAUACCCUCUCAGUGGGAGGAGUGACCUCUCAAGGUCAUAUUGCAAGAAGAGCGUCUGGAAUGGGAGGUCUUGUGGUCAUGUUGGAGAGUACUAUCAGUCACAGUCCACCCUUUGGUCAUAACAAUUUAAAUUCCUCCCAUGUACAAAAUGCAAUUAUUCUGUCCCCUUCCACCGAGUCUCAUUCUAUUAAGGCAUUUGCUCAAAAACCUAGGUCUUGUCAUUGAAAUCAGGCCCAGGUGCAGGCGAGGCUUCUUGAAUGUGGUUCUUUGAGUGCAUAUUCCUUGGGUACAUUUGAAGGGCUGUGAACUAAAGAGACAGACUGUCUUCCUCCCACACCUCGACAUAGAGCUCUGGGAAAGUUCUCCAGGGUGGAACCAGGACGAGCAGUCACUGGUUUACAGCAUGCUUCCAGAGCCUGCAUCAGGGCUCAGUCUGCCUGCUGGGAGGUGCUCCUCACUACUCUUGGCUCUACCCUCUUGGAUCUUGGAUCUGCCCUCAGAGACAUCCUUGUUUUUUUUUUUUCCCUUGCUUUUUCUCCCCAAAUCCCCCCAGUACAUAGAUGUAUAUAUUUUGAGUUGUGGGUCCUUAUAGUUGUGGCAUGUGGGACGCCGCCUCAAUGUGGCCUGACGAGCAGUGCCAUGUCCCUGCCUAGGAUUCGAACCAGCAAUACCCUUGGCCUCCAAAGCAGAGUGCAUGAACUUAACCUCUCAGCCACUGGGCCGGCCCCCAUUUUCUGUCUCUUACUAAGAAAAGCUGAGUUUGCAAUUGAAUAGCCUUCUUAGCAUGUGUCCUGCCUGUAAAAAGGGUAGAGGUUCAAAGUUCUUUUUUAGAAUUUAGUAUUUAGUAUUUGUCUGUUCUGUUUAGCCCAAGCUGGCAGUGGUUCCACCAGAAUAAUUAUCUUAAAAACAUGGUGUGUUUUUAAGUGUAUCACUUUAUAAUCCUUGAGACACACCCUCCUAUUUCUUCAAGCUAAGCCCUUCUCUACCUUAGCUUCCUGUGAUGCUGCUGCCAAUUAUUUAACUGAGAGAAUCUGCAAGCCAUGCUCUCAAGAUCCUUAAAGAGCUUUUGGUCUGAUUGAAAGAUUCUGUGAGGUACCACGUUAGAUCUUUCUAAAUCUUAACAAACAGUUUUGCAGACAUGCCCUCAGUUUCGUUUUUAGACCCUGUUUUCCUGAUAGUGCUCUGGAUUUCGUCUCUGCCCAGAAGCUACUUUUAAUUUUAGAAUCAUUUGCUGUCUAGAGAGGCUGGGAAUAAGAAAUGGUUUUAUUUUCAAACCCAGCAAGUCUUGGCUCCUCUAUAUUUAACAGUUCAUUCUUUAGCUAUCUCUUUCCUUUUGCAUUUUAUCCUAGGCUGUGAGAAGAAGCCGGGUGGCAAUUUCAAAAUUCUGCCUAAAAAGCUCCUUAGCUAGAUCUUGGAGUUCAUAAGGUACAUUGCCCAUUUUUUACGCCUCUGCAUAACAAAUGUACCCUCUCCUCCUCCUUCCAGUGACAUUUCCCUUACUUUGCAUGAGCCAUCGUUGACAGCCUCCUUGAGGUCCUCUAGGCUUCGACUAACACUUUCAUGGAGGUUCUUUAGGUUUCCACUAACAGUCUCCUCAAACUUCUCCCACCUUCUGCUCACAACCUGGUCCCAAAGACAAUGCUACAUGUCUUCGGAUUUUGGUACAGCCAUGCCCCACUUCCAGGUGCCAGAAUCUUUCUUAAUUAUCUACUGUUAUGAAACAAAUCACUCCAAGGCAUAAAGGCUUAAAACCGCCACGGUGUGCUCGUUAUUACCUCUUGGGGUUCUGGGUGGACUGGGCUCAGCAGCACGGUUCUCACGUGAGAUCAGUCUUGUGGUGACAGUCAUGGUUGUGGGGCCAGGACCUCAGCCCAGUCUAUUUUUGUGGCAUGUUGGAAAAUAUAAUCUCAUACAAUAGCUGUAUCAGAAUAAUUUAAAUUUUAAAUCCUAUACAGCAACCCUCAUUGGUUAAUUAAAGCAGGGAAAAAAAAAACCUUACUGAAAGUGUAUUGUGUAAAUUAUAGUACUGAUGGAAUUUCAGGAAAACCAGCCUCAGAAAGUGUGAACCAAAAAGCCAGUAGAAGGUACUGACGAAGUUGCACUGGAUGAAAGAUGGAAGAGAAGAACAGAAUCAUCAGAGGAGCAGAAUCUCCCUUGCCUCUGACUUUGAAACAUGGAGGUGAUGGGAGAAUGUGCCUGCCUUGGAGAGGGCUUGAUGUGUAUUAGAAACUUUAUGAUUUUUUUGCAUGUACACGUUGAGUUGAUUUUGCUGCUCCUUUCAUUGUAAUAAACACUCAUCAUCUCCCCCUGUUAAAACCUACUUGUCUUUAAAGAGUCAGCUCAAAUGCCAAUAUUCUAUUACGUUUUGUUAAUUAGAAUUUAUUUCUCUCUCUAUUAGCUCAUAGUACACUUUUUCCUUCUCUUACAAAACUUAAUUGUUUAGCAUUAAAGUAUGUUAACCUGCCUUAUCAACCUAACUAGGUAUAAGUUCCUUGAGGGCAAAGGCCCUGGCUUAGAUUUCUUUAUAUCCCCAGAGUAUCUCAAGGCAACAGGUGCUCAGACACAUUUGUUGAAAGAGUAAGGUGGGGUACCAAGUUAGAUAUUCUGCAAAUAGCUUAAUGAUAAGUUCUGCAUGAAUAUGUCCUUUUCAUUGCUUAAAAAACCCAUAAAGAUCAUUCUCUUCCCUUAAUGUGCCAUUAAUUAAAAGCUUUUAGAAGAUCAGACAUAUGCAGAAACUUUUAUACUUUAGUUUGAGAUAAUGAUUGACAUUAUCUCAGAAUAUUGAAUAAAAUGAAACAGCAAAAUCUCUCAAAUUAAUUAGUUUCCUGAUCCAUAAUUUUAACCAAUGACGAAAAGUGAUUUUUGUUUUCAUUAUUAGGUAAGUGCUUUCAAUGGAUUGCAAAUAGCUUUGCUGUUAGAACAGAUGCAGUUUUUUCUUUAGUUAAAUGUGGAUAUGCUUGUAAUUUUUAGAUUGAUUAAAUUAUUAUGGUUAAAACCUCUAUUUUUACUUUUAUGCUGCUAUUUUAAAGCUCAGCCAAGACAGAAAAGUGAACAUGUGCAAAAUCAGAUUUCAACUAAAUAAAAGUGUAUGUACAAUGGAAGCUUAUAAAUUUGAAAAUCAAAUUUAUUUAAGAGUGUGGUUGGUAGUCAGCCUUCAAGAGGGCCCUCAAGGAUCCUCACUUCUGAUAUUCAACCCUUGUGUACUCCCCUCCCACAUUGUGCCAGGUUUGGGUUGUGUGACCAAUAGAAUAUGGCAGAAGUGAUGGCAUGUGGCUACCAAAACUAGAUGAUAAAAGGCAGUGUCUCUUCUGCCUCGCUCUCUUGGAUCAGUCACUCUGGAGGAAUUCAGCUGUCAUGUCAUGUGGAUGCCCAAGGAGCUUUCUAAAGAGUUGCACGUUAAUGGGACUGAUACAUCUUGCUAAAAGAGUCAGCAACAACUUACCAGUCACAUAAGUGAGCCAUCUUGGAAGUGAAUCCUCUAGCCAUAGUCCCAACCUUAAUAUGACUGCACCUCUGGCCUCUAAAACUGUGGCCUUGUGAGAGAUCCUGAGCCAUAACUGCCCAGCCAAGCCACUUCUGAUUUCCUGACCCACAGAAUCCUCAAAAUAAUAAAUGGUUAUCUUUUACGCCAUUAAAUUUUGGGGGUGAUUUGUUACACAGCAAUAGAUAACUAAUAAAAAAAGGUGUUUGUUAUACUUAGAAUAUACAAAUAUAAGGCAAAUAACAGAUGAGAUUGAGGACACUGUAAAGAUUUCUUUAAUUAGAUAACCGUAAUGCUCACAGUGCAGAUAUUUUUCCAGUAAGUAGUAUAGUUGUCAAGAACUAAGUAGAAAAUGUGUUGGACAUAGAUUUGGCAAGGAAAUUAUUGUUUUUUACUGUAUGAUGACUUGAAGAUGGGUACCAUACUGUACAUAUGUUCAACUGUAACAGCUAAAGUUAUUUCUCCAUUAGAGACUUUUGCAACAGGUUCUAUCAAUAUACAUUAAGU
rnacentral:lncRNA from 1 species